GCCAAGUUAGUAUGAUAAAGUACGUCGAAUUUAGGUUUCGAAAGAAGAAGAAAUUUCUACAUGGCU
rnacentral:tRNA from 1 species